GGCAGCGUAGUAUAGUGGUCUGAGCACUGGAGUAUUGCUCUGGAGACCAGGGUUCGAAUCCCUGCUCGACCA